rnacentral:snRNA from 1 species
GUCUGCACUAUUCCCUACCGAUAAAGCUGGAACGAUACAGAGAAGAUGAGCAUGGCCCCUGCGCAAGGAUGACGCGGACAAAUCGAAAAUUGCACCAAGUGUCA